AGAGUUUGAUCAUGGCUCAGGACGAACGCUGGCGGCGUGCCUAACACAUGCAAGUCGAACGUGAUCUUCGGAGUAGUUUACUACACCGGAGUGAAAGUGGCGGACGGGUGAGUAACGCGUGGGUAACCUGGCCUAUGGAAGGGGAUAGCCUCGGGAAACCGGGAUUAAUACCGUAUGUAGUUGAGAUAUCGCAUGAUAUUUCAAUGAAAGAUUUAUCGCCAUAGGAUGGACCCGCGUCCCAUUAGCUAGUUGGUGAGAUAACAGCUCACCAAGGCGACGAUGGGUAGCCGGCCUGAGAGGGCGGACGGCCACACUGGGACUGAGACACGGCCCAGACUCCUACGGGAGGCAGCAGUGGGGAAUAUUGCGCAAUGGGGGCAACCCUGACGCAGCAACGCCGCGUGAAUGAAGAAGGUCUUCGGAUCGUAAAGUUCUGUCGAAGGGGAAGAAAUAAAUGACGGUACCCUUAGAGGAAGCCCCGGCUAACUACGUGCCAGCAGCCGCGGUAAUACGUAGGGGGCAAGCGUUGUCCGGAUUUACUGGGCGUAAAGGGCGUGUAGGCGGUUUUUUAAGUCAGAUGUGAAAGUUCGGGGCUCAACCCCGGAAUUGCAUUUGAAACUGGAGAACUUGAGUACUGGAGAGGUAAGUGGAAUUCCUAGUGUAGCGGUGAAAUGCGUAGAUAUUAGGAGGAACACCAGUGGCGAAGGCGACUUACUGGACAGAUACUGACGCUGAGGCGCGAAAGCGUGGGGAGCGAACAGGAUUAGAUACCCUGGUAGUC
rnacentral:rRNA from 1 species